ACGACUCUCGGCAACGGAUAUCUCGGCUCUCGCAUCGAUGAAGAACGCAGCAAAAUGCGAUACUUGGUGUGAAUUGCAGAAUCCCGUGAACCAUCGAGUUUUUGAACGCAAGUUGCGCCCGAAGCCAUUAUGCUGAGGGCACGUCUGCAUGGGCGUCACGC
rnacentral:rRNA from 1 species